UACGUAGGGGGCAAGCGUUGUCCGGAAUCAUUGGGCGUAAAGAGCGUGUAGGCGGUCCGGUAAGUCGGCUGUGAAAGUCGAGGGCUCAACCCUCGAAUGCCGGUGGAUACUGUCGGGCUAGAGUGCGGAAGAGGCGAGUGGAAUUCCUGGUGUAGCGGUGAAAUGCGCAGAUAUCAGGAGGAACACCUAUUGCGAAGGCAGCUCGCUGGGACGUUACUGACGCUGAGACGCGAAAGCGUGGGGAGCAAACAGG
rnacentral:rRNA from 1 species